rnacentral:rRNA from 1 species
UACGUAGGUGGCGAGCGUUGUCCGGAUUUACUGGGCGUAAAGGGCGUGCAGGCGGUUUGUUAAGUGCAGAGUGAAAGCUCCCGGCUCAACUGGGAGAGGUCUUUGCAUACUGGCAAACUCGAGGGAGGCAGAGGAAAGUGGAAUUCCCGGUGUAGUGGUGAUAUGCGUAGAUAUCUGGAGGAACACCGGUGGCGAAGGCGGCAUCCUGGACCAAUUCUGACGCUGAGGAGCGAAAGCCAGGGGAGCAAACGGG